rnacentral:rRNA from 1 species
CCUACGGGAGGCAGCAGUGAGGAAUAUUGGACAAUGGAGGAAACUCUGAUCCAGCCAUGCCGCGUGAGUGAUGAAGGCCUUCGGGUUGUAAAGCUCUUUCGGGUGUGAAAAUGAUGAUGGUAACACCAGAAGAAGCCCCGGCUAACUCCGUGCCAGCAGCCGCGGUAAU